UACGGAGGUGGCAAGCGUUGUUCGGAAUUACUGGGCUUAAAGCGCGUGUAGGCGGGACGGAAAGUGUCGGGUGAAAGCCCUUGGCUCAACCAAGGAACUGCUUGGCAUACUUCCGUUCUUGAGGUGGGUAGGGGAGACUGGAACUUCCGGUGGAGCGGUGAAAUGCGUUUGAGAUCGGAAGGAACGCCCGCGGCGAAAGCGAGUCUCUGGCCCCAUACUGACGCUGAGACGCGAAAGCCAGGGGAGCAAA
rnacentral:rRNA from 1 species